AGUGAACGCUGGCGGUAGGCCUAACACAUGCAAGUCGAACGGCAGCACAGUAAGAGCUUGCUCUUACGGGUGGCGAGUGGCGGACGGGUGAGGAAUACAUCGGAAUCUACUUUUUCGUGGGGGAUAAUGUAGGGAAACUUACGCUAAUACCGCAUACGACCUACGGGUGAAGCAGGGGAUCUUCGGACCUUGCGCGAUUGAAUGAGCCGAUGUCGGAUUAGCUAGUUGGCGGGGUAAAGGCCCACCAAGGCGACGAUCCGUAGCUGGUCUGAGAGGAUGAUCAGCCACACUGGAACUGAGACACGGUCCAGACUCCUACGGGAGGCGGCAGUGGGGAAUAUUGGACAAUGGGCGCAAGCCUGAUCCAGCCAUACCGCGUGGGUGAAGAAGGCCUUCGGGUUGUAAAGCCCUUUUGUUGGGAAAGAAAAGCAGCAGGUUAAUACCCCGCUGUUCUGACGGUACCCAAAGAAUAAGCACCGGCUAACUUCGUG
rnacentral:rRNA from 1 species